rnacentral:rRNA from 1 species
AGUGAACGCUGGCGGUAGGCCUAACACAUGCAAGUCGAACGGCAGCACAGUAAGAGCUUGCUCUUACGGGUGGCGAGUGGCGGACGGGUGAGGAAUACAUCGGAAUCUACUUUUUCGUGGGGGAUAACGUAGGGAAACUUACGCUAAUACCGCAUACGACCUACGGGUGAAAGCAGGGGAUCUUCGGACCUUUCGCGAUUGAAUGAGCCGAUGUCGGAUUAGCUAGUUGGCGGGGUAAAGGCCCACCAAGGCGACGAUCCGUAGCUGGUCUGAGAGGAUGAUCAGCCACACUGGAACUGAGACACGGUCCAGACUCCUACGGGAGGCAGCAGUGGGGAAUAUUGGACAAUGGGCGCAAGCCUGAUCCAGCCAUACCGCGUGGGGGAAGAAGGCCUUCGGGUUGUAAAGCCCUUUUGUUGGGAAAGAAAAGCAGCAGGUUAAUACCCCGCUGUUCUGACGGUACCCAAAGAAUAAGCACCGGCUAACUUCGUG